rnacentral:rRNA from 1 species
CACGUAGGGGGCAAGCGUUGUCCGGAUUUAUUGGGCGUAAAGAGCUCGUAGGCGGUUUGUCGCGUCUGCUGUGAAAACUCGGGGCUUAACCCCGGGCCUGCAGUGGGUACGGGCAGACUAGAGUGCGGUAGGGGAGACUGGAAUUCCCGGUGUAGCGGUGAAAUGCGCAGAUAUCAGGAGGAACACCGGUGGCGAAGGCGGGUCUCUGGGCCGUAACUGACGCUGAGGAGCGAAAGCGUGGGGAGCGAACAGG